GAGGGGAGGGGGGGGCGCCCCGGCCCCUCUCUCCCUCCCUCCCUCCUCAGCCGCCCCUCGCGGCGGGCCCCGGUCCCCCGGGGAGGAGCGGAGGGCUCAGGCCGAGCGGCCGCGCUCUGCAGGGAGAGCGGAGACAAAGGUGGUGAAAAGCGGAGCGCCCCGCACAGCGCUGCCCCUCCGUGCCCGGGCCUGGCAGGGAAAUCUGGCAGGUCACCCACUGCGGGGACCGAGAAGGAGGGAAGCAUUGUCUGCGCGGCAGCCAGCAGCAGCAUCAGGAGGGGACACCUGCACCCCGGGUCUGCCAAGGACACUGCACUGCAGAGGGAAGCCACUUGGCUGGUGUGUGCUUCAGGGCCUACAGCUGUUCGGUACAGAAGUCACAACACUGAUGAUGAGCUGGGAUUGCUACUCCCCUUCCUGGCAGCACACUAUGUCAAGUGCUGAGUGCAGGGAGCUUCCAGAGGGCACUACACUGGGACAUUUAAGACGCUGACAUCCUCCAGGGCAUCUCCUCACAAGGGACACAAGAGGUGACUCAGCUGGAAAGUCAACAUUACAUUUAGGAGAUAAAAUGUAUUAAAUAAGGAUUCAAAGACAGAUCAAGAAAAGAAAUCAAGGCAUCUAUGACAGAUGGACUUAAUCACCUAAGCUGAAAAUUACAGCAUACAACUGCCCAGUGCUGCAGCAGCCCAGGUGCCUUCUUUAUAUUUUGAUCAUUCCUCCAGCAUCCAUAGUUCUGCUUUUUGGCAUGCCCAGAACUGCUCCCACUCCAAUAACCACUCAUCUAGUUCUCAACUUAACCUGUUACAGUUGAGAAACCAGGCAAAGCAUCACUUAUGUCCCCAAGGAGUCUUUUGCAGGGAGUCUAUAUUAUGCCUACAGUAUACAUCAUAUGCAU